GGUACUGAGGGGAAGGGAGGUUCAUACUUGGCAGCAGGAGUCACUCACGCCUCCAGCUGUUACAUCACUGCCUGAUUUCUAAUCUUCACCAUUCAGACAACGACUCUCUUGGUUCAGGCUGCAGGUGGAGGAGACAAACUGCUGCCUGGGUGACUAAUCUCAGUCUGUCUAGAGGGAAAAGCAGCAGUGCCCUACAGAAGAGUUGAGACGCUGGGGUGAUGGCCAAGGUCCGGGACUCAGCCAUUGUGCUGAUUUUGCUUUUCAGCUCCACCAUGGAAGAUGCUGUAACUCAGACCCAGCCGUCAGUGUCAGGGGUGGAGGGCGAGUCCGUUUCCCUGGACUGCACUUAUGAAACUGUUGCUAGCAGCUAUUAUUUGUACUGGUACAAACAGCCCCCUGGAGAAAGCCUUAUUUUCCUUUUUUGGCAACAUUCUGAAGGAACAAAGACGAAUGAGGCAGGGGAGAGAUUCUCUGUCAAUCUGGAGAAGUCUAAAAGCUUCGUUAGUUUGAGGAUCACAGCUCUGGAGUUGGGGGACACAGCCAUAUACUUCUGCGCUUUCAGUAGAGACACAGUGUUGAAAUUCAUAGGGAGCCCUGAACAAAAACCUGACACCUCUCCGCUACUGUAA